rnacentral:lncRNA from 1 species
AUGCUUGCUGGAUGGAUGACUGCAGAAGACAGUUCAUGGCUACAAACACUCUCACUGGAUAUGUGUAAAGAAUCGAAGCCUGUUGUCUGUGGAGCAGUUAGGUGUGGGGAUAUCCCUCAGGUACAUCUCCCUAUAGAGAUCGCUCAGUCAGGCAUUCAUCCAAUCUACUCCUGCACCGCUCAUUACGUCGAGAUGUUGCUCAAGGCAGAGGUUCCUCUGGUUUUUUCUGCCUUCAGGAUGUCUGACUUCACUCCCUCUCAGAAGGAACCAAUCCACGGCUUCAGGGUGAGUAAUUACCUGGAGUACAUGGAGGGGCUGGAGGGCAACUACAGAUCCAUGGUGCUCUCGGACAUGAGGAGCAUCUUACCAAGGAGCAGCUAGAAGGAAACAGACCACUGAAGAUCAGCAGGGACUGAAAGUGCUUGUGGUACAGAAUGAGACUGAACAUGUUGCAUGGAUUUAAAGCUGUUUUUAUUACACAACAUGCUCAAUAAGGGCACUGUUUUAUCAAACACUAUGUGUUUUCCCCCUUUGCUUUCAUUCUCUUUUAUUUAUUUUUUUGGAUUCUAAUACCGUACUAUAGUAUUCUCACUUAGGGAAUCAUAAAUAUGAGAACACAAGCUCUUCAAAGUAGAGGGUGACACGGGAGUGGAUUUUCAAAUCUUUCCCGUCCCACUCCCGCAAAAAAAAAUUCCGUCCCAUACCAAUCCCGCAAAAAAAAAAAAAAAAAAACGGGGAGAAAAUCCCAUCCCAUUCAAUCCCGGAAGAAUGAAUCCCGUUCCCGCCCACUCCCAGGUUGUAUAUUUUUUGGCUGGAAUCUGUCAGUUACAGUAAAAAAAUAAAUAAAUAAAAAAUACAGUAGGCUACAGAUCACAGCAUCACAGCAACUUUAGUAAAAUAAAAAAAUUAAAUGUGUUUUUUGCAGAUGCAGAUUGCAGAUUUUUCUACGGGUUCAAGUUGGUUACACAAGUUUGUUGACCAAUGGAAAGCUGCUUUUUUUUUUUUUUUUUAUGUGACUUCUGUAUGAGAUGUGCACUGAACACUGAGAAUAGACAGUAGUCCAAAAUUUCUAGAAUGCUGGCCCCAUAUGUAGGUUCAUGAGUCAUUUUGCAGUCUCAGACUGCUAUAUGACAUCAGUACGUAAGAAAAAUUUCCAUGCUUUUGAAUGCUUGAUUGCUGUCUUAAUGAGCAAUCGAACAUGAAGUACGUGGGAUCUAGCAUGUCAACACUUGAAUAUACAAUGACUCACAUGCUGUUGACGUAGUCUUGUUGUGUAGUGCAUGUUGCCAUUUUUUUCUAUAGGCAUAUAUUAACAUCUGCAGUCUCUCGUUCACAUCCUAAGGAAGCUGUACAGAGAGGCGUUAUCACGUUGACAGGCCGUCAUUAGCACAUAGAUGCAAUCUCUCACCCUCGCCAUCUGUAACUCACACAGUGAAUAAUGAAUUAGAUCAUUAGAGAGGUGUCUUUCUCCUUCACAACAACUGCUAAAUAUUGCAUACUGUUUACUCAGUAGGAGGCAGAAGGAGUUAUAAUUUAAGUUUUAAAAAGUUCCUUGGAGAAAGUAAGUAAAAAUAUAUGCACUCUUUUUUACAUUGCAUUAAAAAAAUAAAAAUUGUCACCCAUAAAGCAUAUGCUGAUGCUCAGAUAAAAAAUACUGUUUCAGUUUUGUGUGAUCAGUUGAUUUUAUCUUUGUGUAAUCAUAACGAGCUGUACACAUUAAUCAGGUUAAUGAUUUAAUGACUGAUUGUUGGCCAACAGUCAUCUGGAAAGCCAAUCUUGUGUUGGCUCAUUGUAAAUUGACAAUACAAGGCUUUUGUGGCAUGGAUGUUGAUGAUGUAUCCGCGGACCAAAAUGGUAGGAUAAUUAGAAAAGGAUAAUUAUGCCUAAUUAAACUGAUUAACUGAUAAUUAAGACAUAUCUGUCUCUGUAUUAGGCUUGAGGAGUUGCAUUAGCUUGAUUUUCUCUGGUAAAUAUGCUUUAUUAUUGUCCUCCACAUUAAUUAUCCCUGUUAUGACUGCCAAAUUCCACUUCUAGAAUCUGCUUGAUGAAUGGGCGAAUGUCAUUUGAAAGUGAGCAUCACUGUCCCUCUUCUCACUCUGAGAAGCACUUGAAAUGAGUAAUCUGAUUUGUGUAGGGCAUUAAGGGCCGUUCACACCAAGGACAAUAACAGUAAACUUUUAAUAAUUGUUUGAAUUCUAUAAGAAUAGUGAAGUCCACGCCACAUAUAAUGACACAAAAGAACUAUAUCAUUGGAAUAAAUUUCAGAACAAUUUUCUUUUUUUUUUCAGCUGAUGAACAAUAAAAAUUUGACAGCCACUCGAAUCCAACCAAUUUAAAGCUGCAGUAGGUAACUUUUGUAAAAAUAUAUUUUUUACAUAUUUGUUAAACCUGUCAUUAUGUCCUGUCAGUAGAAUAUGAGACAGAUAAUCUGUGAAAAAAUCAAGCUCCUCUGGCUCCUCCCAGUGGUCCUAUUGCCAUUUGCAGAAAGUUAUCUGCUCCCGGUAAGAAACAACCAAUCAGAGCUGCGGUCCGUAACUUUGUUUGUGUUCAAAAUGUAGAAAAAUUUAUAUAAUAAGCGAGUACACCGUGAAUCGAUUUCCCAAACCGUGUUUUUAGCUUGUCCUGAAUCACUAGGGUACACCUAUAAUAAGUGUUUAUAUUCGGACUAUUUUAGAUUGCUUCGGGGAUACCGCGGCGGAGUAACCCAGUACCUUUGUGAUUCUUCAUAGACAUAAACAGAGAGAAGUAGUUCCGGCUACGAUGUUCUUCCGCAAGACGCAAGCAGUUCUGUUUAUUAACCGCUAGAGCGUCAAAAGUUACCUACCGCAGCUGUAAGAGCUCACAUAAUUAAAGCGGCAGACAACAUAACUUCAAUGCACGCUUAUAAUAAACAAUGUUAUUGUGUGUUGGCAUGGACACUAAUAUAGUUAUUGAUAGCUAUAUUAGACUUGUGGCCAGUUGGCAGGCUACACAAAGAUUUGUCAAAGUAACUUUUUCAGACUUUUUUAGCAUUGUGAAACAAUAACCGUUUUAUUUUUCACUUUUUAAGCGGUUUUGUUUGGUGGUCCUCAACGUUCAUUUCAUUUAAGGGGAAGGAGUAGUACUCAUGUCAUUCUCGCAGCACCUCUUCUAAAUCUACAGCACAAAACAGUAUAUGUAGUUCACAGAACACAUUAAUCUUAUGAGACGUUUCUCAAAAAAUAUAGCACAUCCAGUGUAGUACGAUCCCUGAAUGAAUGACUGUAAUGUGCUGGUUCUUUUAGUGAAUCAAAAACAGUGCACACUUAACAAACUUAAAGGCAGGGUAGGCGAUUUGCUUCAAAACCAUUUUUUGUUUUGCUGGUUGAAAGUCUCUUCACAUCCCAUAAUCACUAUUAUUAUUAUUACUAUUUAUUUAUUCUGUGGGAGGCAUAGGACCAUAAAAUGUUAGUCCAAUCAUAUCCCUCGGUCCGAGGGCUACGAUAUUAUGCGCUUUGUACUAAAAUGUUUUCUCAACAGUAAAUGAGACAUGAUGGAAUCUGACAGCGUUGCAUUCAAAAUUACAUCAGUAGUGCUUGUCAUGUGUUUUGGGGGAGGCGUGGCUUUGAAGAGUGAUUUGCAGGUAGGGUGUGAUCUUAUGCUUUCAAAACUAGCUUGAUAUUGCUAGCCUCUCCAAAUUCACCAAUCCUACCUUUAAAACUUAUAUUGAAACAUGUAGUUGCAGAUGCACAUGAAGUUUGUCAGUAGUAUAUUAUUAAAAUAAAUGUUAGUCAUGGAAGCUUUAGCCUAAGUUCUGCCAGGAAGACUCAAUCACUUCGUCAUUAAUUACCUUCAUCAUUAUCCAAUCACGUCUUUAUACUCCUGUAUAAAAGAUCGUACUUACACAUGUUUGAGUUCGCAGAUGCCAACGCGACAACAACCUCCACCCUCCCCACCACCACCAGGAUGGUCCUGUCCUUACCUUCCAGGGGGGUCUGCUGCGCCCCUGCCUUCGUCUUCAGGCAGGAAAUGCAGAUUCGCUACCCUCGGAUUACGAACCAUGGACGGGGCCUUCCGCCAAAGAAAUUUAUAAUUGUGCUCGCUGAGCUGUCAAUAAAUGUAUGCUUCCUACAUUCCUCUAUCUCCCGAGUCUUUCUGGUAGAAAUACUUUUUUUUUGUUUUGGUGUUGCUGUACUUUUUGCUAACAGUCCAGUUUUGAAUCUGUCCUGAAUUGCAGGUGAAACUAAGCGGUUGUCCUUUAACACUGAUGUUCAAGUGUCAGUCAUUGGAUAUCUACUUACUGUGCAUUGAUGGACACCCAAUCAAUCUGAGGGUCUUUGAAGAAGAUAUCACAAGCAUUAUCCAUCUCCAUUAAACUCCAGAAUCUCAAGGGCUGAAUCCAUUUUCUCUCUGUAUCAAUUGUAAUCUGGACUGAUUAGUGUGUGAUUAGAAUGCAUGACUGUAACUCUCCCUGCCCAGUAACUCAAAGCCCAGAAGCAUCAAUGAUAGGUCAGCUUCUACAGCAAAUGGAUGAGAUUGAAGGAGUCAAUUCUUGUUCCUUGUGAGAUAGAAGAGGCUUAUGGAUCAGACUCAAACUGUGUGAAAAUCUACAGACUUUGUGCAGAAAGUAAAACUCCUUUAUGUUCAAAGUAGGCAUCGAAAAAACGAAGUGAAGAGAAGGAGACAAGAGACAGAAGAAGAUUGCCACACGAACAUAACCCAUCCGUUCCCUGUCAGAAGAAGCCAGUAAUUUAUAACACACAUUAGGUAUUGUACACAUGAUUUCUUAGUCAAGUUGGCGCACCACUUUUAUCACACACCAUCCAUCUGAAUCGUAUUGUAGUUCAGCAGUAGCACAACUGUGUCCUCUGGCUUCUUUCCUAAUGUAUUUGUAGACUUUCCUUUUCAGAUAUUUUCUUUUUGCUGUGAUCUAACCCAUUAUGACACCAUCAGCACAAAUUUCCCCUCAGGCCCACCUGACGAGACCAUCGGGUUAAUUGCAAAAAGUCUCAUUAGCGUUAUCAUACAGGCAGCCAUUUGAAUUACAAGAAGCACAAUACUUACCAGAGCACAUAGGGAGUCCAAUGAAUGGAAUAUGAGUGUGUGAUGAUCAACUAGUGCAGAUAACCCCGGGCAAAAAACAACAUUAUUCUUUAAUAUCUCUGUCUCUUCGAACCACAGGAACACAGAUCACAGAUAGUGUUUGAGUGAAGCUAUCAGUGCAGAAGUGAAUAUCAAAGCCAAGGAGACAUCAGAGAG